GACGAACGCUGGCGGCGCGCUUAAUACAUGCAAGUCGAGCGAGAACCGGAGCUUCGGCUCCGGGGACAGCGGCGAACGGGUGAGUAACACGUGGGUAACCUGCCCUCGGCACCGGGAUAGCCCGGGGAAACCCGGAUUAAUACCGGAUGGCCCUUUCGGUCUUCGGACCGGUCGGCAAAGGUAGCUUCGGCCUCCGGCCGCGGCUGGGCCCGCGGCGGAUUAGCUUGUUGGUGAGGUAACGGCUCACCAAGGCUCCGAUCCGUAGCUGGUCUGAGAGGACGAUCAGCCACACUGGGACUGAGACACGGCCCAGACUCCUACGGGAGGCAGCAGUAGGGAAUCUUGCGCAAUGGGCGAAAGCCUGACGCAGCGACGCCGCGUGCGGGAAGACGGCCUUCGGGUUGUAAACCGCUUUCAGGAGGGACGAAGCCACUCGGGUGAAUAGCCCAGAGGGUGACGGUACCUCCAGAAGAAGCCCCGGCUAACUACGUGCCAGCCGCCGCAGUAAAAC
rnacentral:rRNA from 1 species